UAAAAACACUGCUCCCCAUCCCUAUUAGAAUUUUCCUGCCCACCAAACAGACCAUCUCAUGUCUGUGUCCUGCCAGUUUGUCUAGAAGAAGAAUGUGGAAUGCUUUGCUGUCCAUGGUGAAAUAGCCACUGCUCUCCCCAUGUCAACAGAAGACAAAGUUUUGUUGUGGCAGGUGACCAGGUUACUAUGGCACAAUUUUUUUGGUAUAUCUGAGAUGGCUGAUCAAGCUCUACUGCAAUGGGCUGAAUGAAAGCAGCCAUGGUGGAAUUCAUCUCACAUUGUUUUAAAUGUUGUUGAAGUCAAGCAAUAAUUGUUCUUACUGAAGAUUUUUCCUCCAUGUGGGUCUAUAUGAACAAUUGUUUUUGUCUUUCCUUAUGUGGAUGACCAUAAAAGAACAUCCUAACUCUUUGGGCUCCUUCUGAUCAAAAUAAGUCAAUUCAUAUUAUUUUCAAAAAUUGCUGGUGGCUUCUGUGACAGAGACUUAUAAAUUAAGCAAGCCAAAGUAUGUACUCAAACAAAAUUCAUUUUACAAAAUCAUUUAAAGCUCUGUCAGCAUUGAUGGAUUACAGAUUCAGGAUGUCAAGUGGAAUUGCUACUACACACAUGACUUCAGGAUUCCUAAGCUUUAGAAGGGUAACCCUGCACGUGCAGUCACUCACUGCAAGCUUCAGGUCAGUCAGAGCCAGUGAAAAGUUCAUCUGUCAGGAAGAACAGCUUUCCCUGAUACUGGAUUGAAGAGGAAAAAACACAGUUAGGAAGAGGAGAGGGCAGCUGUUGGACAUCAGAGAAGGGCCAAGAGGAUGCUCAGAAGGCUGGAACACCUCUCCAAUGAAGAGAGGCUGAGACAGAUGGGGUUGUUCAGCUUGGAGAAGAGGAGACUCCAGAGAAUUCUUAUUGCAGACUUUCAGUACUUAAAGGGGGCUUAUAAAGAAGAGAAAGACUGUUUUUUUUUUCACAUGGGCAGUUAGUGGCAAGACAGAGUAAUGGUUUCAGACUAAAAGAAUGGAAAUUUAAAUUAGAUAUUAGGAAGAUUUUUUUUUUUUUUUUUUUUUUUACUCAGAGGGUGGUGAGACACUGGCAAAGGUUACACAGAGAAGCUGUGGUUUCCCCAUCCCUGGAAGUGCUCAAGACCAGCCUGGAUGGAACCCUGAGCAACCUGGUUCAGAGGGGGGACCAUGGCAGGAGGCUGGAACUAGAUGGUCUUUAAGGUCCCUUCCAACUCAAACCAUUUGGUUCUAUAAUUCUUUGGCAUCUAUAGAGGCUCCCAGAGACUGAAUUCCGAUCUCUGCUAUGCCUCAGCCUUACUAUAUGUAACCUUAAACAAGUAAUUCAUGUUCAUAUUAGCAGAUCAGUUGUUUCUUCUUUUAAACUUCCAAUGUUAUGAAACCAAGGCAGGAAAACCUUAUCAAACCUGCUUAGGCUUCAGGUUGCCAAAAAUGUUCAAGGUUACCCUCAUUUGGAGCUGUUGGCAACAUUUUUUGUAUUUAAGAACAGAAAAUAGAGCAUUCUUUAUAUCCCCAUCUCUAGCUAGAAAGAUAUCUCAGUAUCUUUGAAAUUAGUACAGUGAAAAGAAUUAUACUACAGCUCUGUGACAGGAGUGUUUGGGACCCUCUUAUUACACUUGGUGGAGACACAAUGAGUCUCUGAAAUCAUGAAUGUGAUUUCUUUGACCAAAUAUAUGCACCUGCUUUAAGAUGAAUGAUCCACCUUGUAAAGACUUUGAAUGAGAGUUUAAAGUGAUUUGGUGUGGAUGCCUGCAUUGGAAGAAUUUAAUCAGAGAUCUCAAUUUCUAAGAUAUCCUAAUGUUAUACGGCAGCAGAAAAUUGGGGAAGGUCUUUUGCUGUGCUUACUUGUGUAGGAUCCUUGUAUACCAAGCAGAAAAUAGGAGCCUUAAUGCCUCAGAUGCUCAGGAGUACCCAUAACUCUCACAAGCUGCACUUUAUUCAUUCCAGAGCAUGUGGUGAUUACACAGUGCCUGUUUUGCUUGCCUUUGUAAUCUCAGCAGAAACGAGGAUUUAACUUGCUAAGUAUUACAGCUCAGGUAGGAUGAAGAGAAAGCACUCCCAUGUAGCCUGUGCCAGUGGGAUGUGAGAAGCAACCAGAAGGCAACCUGGAGCUCAGAUCUCCACUCCCAAAGAAACUCAAUGUGCUGUGAAGCACAAAAGAGCAUUACCUGGUUUCAUCCAAAGAACAUUCAUGAACUUCAUGCACAUCCAUCCAUCCAUUGGUGGUCAAACUGAGAGGAUCAACCUGUCCCAGUUUAGUGUUUGCAUAAAUCCAAAGUGCAGAAGCAUGUGACUGAUGAUGGCUGAGUGAGAAAUAUUCACCUCAGUAUUUCUGCAGUGUACAGUGAUAUCCUCUAAUGAUUCACCAAUGUUGUUUUCUCAAGGACUCAUGAAGAGCAUCAGGAAGAUUUCAGGUGAGGGAUCAGGGCAGUUGUUAUCUAGCAUUGAGAAGUCUGUUCAAAAGUGCUUUAGUUUACCAUUCAGUGCAAUGAAAACAUUCAAACAAACUUGAGUUCAAAGACUCCAAAAUCAGACCUUUUCUGAGUGAGUGAACCUCAGGAGUGGGGUAUUGCCAGUUUUUUAAUUUACCACUCAGGAGAGCUUUGCUCAUGACAUUCAGCACUUCAGGAAACAUUGCAGUGGCUCAUGUGCACUAGUGGCUGAAUCACAAGGCUGAGGCUAGAAAAUGCUGAACCAUGGUGGUGGCCUGACCCACUGGUCUGCAGGGUAUUUAGACCUCUCCUCAAGGCAGGAGCCUUGUCCCUUGGUUACAUGGGAGCAUGAACAUGAACAGAAAAAACCCAGGGCUGUAAGACAAUACUGGAAAAAGCUGAUUUUUCAAACUGACUUCUGUACCCAGGUUCUGCUUCAGAUAUAGUUUGCAUACUUAAGAGAGUAUAUGUACUGGCAAAAUUAUGGAGACUGUGCUUUAGAGGAGAUAAUACAGUAAACAGAUCACAGCUGCAGGAAAUGUAAAGAGAGGAGUGGCUCAAUUAUUUGAUCUGAUAUGGAAAUUUUCUUCCUUAUAUUAAAUAAUAGAGUGUUUUGUUAUAUUACAUGUGUUCAGCUCAACUUGUCUUUCAUUUGACCUGUCAGCAGCAACC